AGGGUCUUUGCAGUGAUGGGCGUUACCAGAGAGGACGAUGGCCAGAGGACGCGAAUGGGACGGGGAGGCAGCGCGUUGGGGGGGGGGGGGGGGGGCGACACAGCUCGGGCCCGCCAGUGCCCCAACGGGGCCCUAGUUGUUAGUGUAACUGCAGAUUGUGCUGACAGUGUCUAUGGCACAAAAAAAAAAAAAAAUUUAAAAUGCCUCAACAUGAACCCCUGGUGGUCUCUGAGGGUGAAACCUGCUAACUGCUGCAGCUCUGUCAGCUUCAGUCUCCCAUGCAGAGCUCUGAGCGCAUGUGUGGCUCUGCACCCUUAGCAGCGUUGCUAACUCCUCAGUAAGGAAAGCCUGCUUCAUGUCAGAGUCUCUAAACUCCAGAAGAAGUCGAUAAAAGUCCCUUUCUUUCUAAAAAAAAGUCGUUAGGGGGUCUGAAAAGUCAUUGAAUCUAACAACAAAGUCGCUAGGUUUGCAACUACGUGUCCCAGACUGCAUCCCUGCUGAGAGUCCCUCCCUCCCUUCUCAUGUUGCAGGAAGAACGUAAGCGCCCGCCCCUUGUCAAUCAGUCACCAUAUAAUUUUGGAUUGGUUGUUGUGGUGAAGUUUUCCACCAAUAGGAGAGAUGUUGUGGUGUGUUUUUUUUUUCUUUUGGCAAGCCUUUUCCGCCUGUAAGACCUGUCGCUAAUGUCUGCAUGCUAUGUUUUCCUGUCUCAUACAGCGCGAUCGAGCGCCGAACGUGAUCAAAAUAAGCAGAAAAAAAGUAUCGCGGACAUAAUUUAUCAUAACUCUGGUUUUAUUUGGCCUAUCAACACAAUUUAAAAACUGGUAUAUAGGUUGAGGUCCUCACUUUUGAGAUAAGUUGAAACGGAGAGUCAACGAGGCUCCGUCUUGCAGCUACAUCCGAUAUAAUGUGUCAUGUGACUAGAACGCACACACAGACACACACACACACACACACACACACACACACACAUACACACUCAGAGUCUGUUUUUCAGCACCUGCAAAAACAUGCUAUUUACAUAUUUGACAACAAUGCAGAGACUUCCUUUUGCCCCUGAAAAAAAUCAAAUUUCAAACACAACUUGACUGUUCAUUUCUCCAAAAGACAACCAUGAAGCUCCAUUUCAAACCUGAAGCAGAUAGUUGGUGCAUGUGUACAGUAACCUGAGGGGAGUGAGGUGACUAUUUCUGAGGAGAACAUGAGUAGUGAAGAUUCACCUUGGAGCUAGAACAGGGACGUGCACAUGAUUAUACAGGGGCAGGGGCUCAAGUUUUUUCCAGUCAUUUAUACAAUAUGGAAAUUAAUGUGAAAUUAAACCACAAAUAUGUGUGAUGAACUGUUUUUAAAACUUAAACUUCAAAUAAAAAUUGUAAACUUCAAAACAUAUGCAAAUUUUUAACAAAGAACAUAGUAAUUUACCUCUAUUUACAUCAAAAUGCAGGCAAUGGCCCAGGCGUUCUUUGUAAAAUUAUUUACAAAACACUGUAUAGUCUCACAAAUGUCACUUUUUAUUUAUGCCACUACAAAAAAACAUGAUGUAAAUGAUGCAUGAUGUAAAACAUGAUGUAAAAAACUUGUGUAGAUCCUCCUCUAUGUCAGUCCAUGUGUAAUUUUUCCAUAAUUCUUUGUUUUUUGCAGCAUUUUUGUUAGUGUAACUGCAGAUUGUGCUGACAGUGUCUAUGGCAAAAAAAAAAAAAAACUGAAAAUGCCUCAACAUGAACCCCUGGUGGUCUCUGAGGGUGAAACCUGCAGAGCCAGCAGACAAAGUAGUUGUGGCCACUGAAAGGCACAUAUUUGUCAUAUGCUAUAAUCCUGACAUAUUUUAAUGCUUUUGAUAAUUUAAACCUAAUGGAUCUAAGGUUUGACCUUCAAAAUUUAGGAAGAAUAUGUUUUUGCAGUAAUGACCCCGUUAAACAACCAGAGGUCCUUUCCUAAAGUUUAUGGAAAUUUUAGUGAAGGCCUUGGUUUCUUUCCUUGCAAAAUGUAUAGAAAUAAUAAAGCUAAAUUCCAUAAAAUGGUCUUGGCGUAUUAGCAGUGAUAUAAAAUAGUGGUUUGAAUAUGAAUGAACAACAACAAAAAAAAAACAUCAACAGAGCCUUUUUGAGUUGGGAUUCUUUCAUUAUCACACAAAAACAGACAUAGACAGACAUCUAAAGGGUAAGGGAAUGAUCAGCCCUCCUAACUCUCAGAUGAAUCUUCAAAAUUCACCUCAGAAAUAUGCUUAUUAUUCUUCUCAGAGUACUGCAGGAUAUACACACACACACACUCAGAGUCUUUUUUUUAGCACCUGCAAAAACAUGCUAUUUACAUAUUUGACUAGAAUGCAGAGGCCCCUUUUUGCCCCUGAAAAAAAUCAAAUUUCAAACACAACUUGACUGCUCAUUUCUCCAAAAGACAACCAUGAAGCUCCAUCCAAACCUGAAGCAGGCAGUUGGUGCAUGUGUACAGUCACCUGAGGAAAGUGAGGUGACUACUUCUGAGGAGAACAUGAGCAGUGAAGAUUCACCUUGGAGCUAGAACAGGGACGUGCACAUGAUUAUACAGGGGCAGGGGCUCAAGUUUUUUCCAGUCAUUUAUACAAUAUUGAAAUUAAUGUGAAAUUAAAAAACAAGUAUUAAUAGAAAGGUUAUGACUGUCCUGUGUAGAUGACAGUGAUAUCCAAUAGGCUAGGCACUCACGAGGCUGGCUGUGGCAAGUGUAAGUGAAAGCAACACGCACUGGCAGGAAGAACAGCAAACGCCGAUGAAGGAAAGAGCCUUUGCAGUGAUGGGCGUUACCAGAGAGGGCGAUGGCCAGAGGACGCGAAUGGGACGGGGAGGCAGCGCGUUGGGGGGGGCAGCGCGACACGGCUCGGGCCCGCCAGUGCCCCAACGGGGCCCUAGUUCUUUCUUUCUUUCUUCUUAUUUUUCCUCCCCUUUGAAGGGGAAAAUGGCCCACUUCCCACUGGCGAAAACUCAUGAAAUUUGGCAGGACGAAUGGGCCUGGUGAAAAAUUCGAUAUUCUGAAGUCGCCCAAACAAUAAAAUGCAAAAUGG